rnacentral:rRNA from 1 species
UGAGGAAUAUUGGGCAAUGCCCGCAAGGGUGACCCAGCAACGCCGCGUGGAGGAUGAAUGUCGUAAGAUUGUAAACUCCUGUUAGAGGGGAAGAAUAGUACCGGUUGGACCGGUAUAUGACUGUACCCUCAGAGAAAGCCCCGGCUAAAUACGUGCCCGCAGCCGCGGUAAUACGUAGGGGGCAAGCGUUGUCCGGAUUUACUGGGUGUAAAGGGCGCGCAGGAGGGGUAAAAAGUCAGUGGUGAAAUCCUACAGCUUAACUGUAGAACUGCCUUUGAUACUUUUAUUCUUGAGUUCGGGAGAGAGAGACGGAAUUCCAGGUGUAGUGGUGAAAUACGUAGAUAUCUGGAAGAACACCAGUUGCGAAGGCGGUCUCUUGGUCCGACACUGACGCUGAGGCGCGAAAGCGUGGGGAGCAAACA